UACGAAGGGUGCAAGCGUUACUCGGAAUUACUGGGCGUAAAGCGUGCGUAGGUGGUUUGUUAAGUCUGUUGUGAAAGCCCCGGGCUCAACCUGGGAAUGGCAAUGGAUACUGGCAAGCUAGAGUGCGGUAGAGGGUAGUGGAAUUCCCGGUGUAGCGGUGAAAUGCGUAGAGAUCGGAGGAACACCAGGUGGCGAAGGCGGCUACCUGGACCAGCACUGACACUGAGGCACGGAAAGCGUGGGAGCAAACAGG
rnacentral:rRNA from 1 species